rnacentral:rRNA from 1 species
GAACGGGUGAGUAACGCGUGAGGAACCUGCCUCAAAGAGGGGGACAACAGUUGGAAACGACUGCUAAUACCGCAUAAGCCCACGGUGCCGCAUGGCACAGAGGGAAAAGGAGCAAUCCGCUUUGAGAUGGCCUCGCGUCCGAUUAGCUAGUUGGUAGGGUAACGGCCCACCUAGUCGACGAUCGGUAGCCGGACUGAGAGGUUGAACGGCCACAUUGGGACUGAGACACGGCCCAGACUCCUACGGGAGGCAGCAUG